rnacentral:rRNA from 1 species
UGGGGAAUUUUGGACAAUGGGGGAAACCCUGAUCCAGCCAUCCCGCGUGUGCGAUGAAGGCCUUCGGGUUGUAAAGCACUUUUGGCAGGAAAGAAACGUCGCGGGUUAAUACCCCGCGAAACUGACGGUACCUGCAGAAUAAGCACCGGCUAACUACGUGCCAGCAGCCGCGGUAGUACGUAGGGUGCAAGCGUUAAUCGGAAUUACUGGGCGUAAAGCGUGCGCAGGCGGUUCGGAAAGAAAGAUGUGAAAUCCCAGAGCUUUAACUUUGGAACUGCAUUUUUAAACUACCGGGCUAGAGUGUGUCAGAGGGAGGUGGAAUUCCGCGUGUAGCAGUGAAAUGCGUAGAUAUGCGGAGGAACACCGAUGGCGAAGGCAGCCUCCUGGGAUAACACUGACGCUCAUGCACGAAAGCGUGGGGAGCAAACAGGAUUAGAUACCCUGGUAGUCCACGCCCUAAACGAUGUCAACUAGCUGUUGGGGCCUUCGGGCCUUGGUAGGCGCAGCUAACGCGUGAAGUUGACCGCCUGGGGAGUACGGUCG